rnacentral:rRNA from 1 species
GAUGAACGCUGGCGGCGUGCCUAAUACAUGCAAGUCGAGCGAACAGACGAGGAGCUUGCUCCUCUGACGUUAGCGGCGGACGGGUGAGUAACACGUGGAUAACCUACCUAUAAGACUGGGAUAACUUCGGGAAACCGGAGCUAAUACCGGAUAAUAUAUUGAACCGCAUGGUUCAAUAGUGAAAGACGGUUUUGCUGUCACUUAUAGAUGGAUCCGCGCCGCAUUAGCUAGUUGGUAAGGUAACGGCUUACCAAGGCAACGAUGCGUAGCCGACCUGAGAGGGUGAUCGGCCACACUGGAACUGAGACACGGUCCAGACUCCUACGGGAGGCAGCAGUAGGGAAUCUUCCGCAAUGGGCGAAAGCCUGACGGAGCGACGCCGCGUGAGUGAUGAAGGUCUUCGGAUCGUAAAACUCUGUUAUUAGGGAAGAACAGAUGUGUAAGUAACUAUGCACGUCUUGACGGUACCUAAUCAGAAAGCCACGGCUAACUACGUG